rnacentral:sRNA from 1 species
AAGAGCAAGAGCCAAAGAAAUGAAAGGAAAUGACUUGAUCCAAGAAAAAAAUCGAAAUAUGCCUUUAGUGCAAAAUGGUAGACUUAGGAUCAUCAUUGGGUUUAGAGAUAGGACCAUCUACUUGUUAUUCACGGUUUAUGUCAUUGGGUAGAUGAGGUGCUAUUCUUGUAUGCAUAGGUUGGCACUUACCUUUAGCAUUCUUCUAAAGCUCAGUCCUUUUUCAUUGAGAGUCCCCUGUUAUUAAAGUCUGAACCACCUUAAAGGGACCAUCUUUGUCACAUAACCCGUCCUUUGCCAAAUGAGUUCACUAGCGAUGCAUAUCUUGAUUCAUGUUCCUGAGCUUAAUGAAUGUUAAAGGGAUUGGUUGAUCUUGACGUAUUGUGCAACUGAGUGUGAAUUGGGAUCAUAACAGAGCAUGCUAAAGUUUUUAAGUAGAAGUCGAUCACCUCGCAUUUUAGAACUGUUAGC